CGCCACGUGUUUGUUUGCGCGAACGGUAGCCACCCAGCGUUCGGCAAUUUACCUACAGCAGGCUCCAAGCCUGGGAGGUAAAUUGUCUGCACACUUCCACUUCUGGGUGGUCCGCCUGUGUGGUACUUGGUUCAGUAAGCCCCAUUUACUGAACCAAGUGGGAAAUAGCCAGGAACAAAGGGUUUUAACCAGGUCUGGGGACACAGGCUUAAAGGGGCAAUGUCCCAAACAAGUCUGGGGACACAGUCUUAAAGGGGCAUUGUCCCAAUUUUCUCUAUGUCCCAAAAAAGUGCUUAAAAGGCCAGCACCAGUCCCAUAAAAAGUCCAUAAGCCCCAAUAUGCCCACCGACUGUCUUAAAGGGCCAUACACAUCCGGACCAUAGUCAUGGGGGAGGAGGCUGGCAAAUAGGCUCCUCCAUAAUCCAGGGGAGCAGGGCAAUUUGUCAUUUAAAGGAACAGUUACAAAAGGCAGUUUGUAACAUUUGUAUACUUUUUAUUUAAAAUUGUAUACAAUGUAACAUUCUUCUUUCACUGGGUAAGUAUAUUAGUACUUAAGCAAUACUGUGCUUCGGAACUUCAGACAUUCAGAAGUACCCGAAUGUCCGAAUUUCCUGAAAUUCAUCCGAAUUCAUAUUCGGACCGAAAUGAAAUGCACAUCUCUACUGCUCAAUAAGCUUCUUUCGAUAUCGGCACCCUGCAGCCAACAGAAGUGUAUGCUACUCAUAUUUGCUCCACGAUUGUUUUGAAUUGGAAAUUAAUGAAAAAGACAACUUUUAACAAGGAUCAAGGUUUUUAAUUUAACGAUCUAGAAGACUUGCCUUUAAAAUAUCUUUUACAUAUUUCCACCGUCUGAUGGAACCUCAUUACUAAAGUGAACCUGUCACGACAAAUCACCUAAAUUAUAUGUUUAGUCCUUUUAGUAACGGUUUAGAUUUUACUUACGUCCUGUCCAUGGUACCAUACUGUAACUCCCACCCUCUGGUCCCACCUUGUUCUUGGCCCUCUAUGAUGAGAUUGGUAGUGCAUGGGGGCACUUUACCUAGCAGGUCAUGUUAGCUCUGACAUUCAAGCUUCAUUAUGUUCCUAUAACCAGCAUAUCAGCCGAAAAUCUGUGUUUUCUGGCUCUCUCUACACUAACUUUAUCCUGACAGUUGAUUAAUUGGUAAAGGGACAAUAUUAUUUUCUUAAUCAAUUGUUUUAUUGUGCAGGUGUACUACAUACACAAUAUUUGAGAAUAUCAAAAAUAAUUCAAAACUGCACUAUUUUAGGGUAGUGUGUAUAUAUCAUCAAGAGCAUAUUAAAACCGAACACCUUAAGGAAAUUAAUUUGUGUUAUCAGAAUCACUGCAGCUUCAACCUGUCAAAAAAUGUUUACGAAUAUAUAGCUGGCAAUCUUCACAAAUAAUAAAACAUAUAUAUCAACUUACUUAAUCAGAACAUACACUGAUCAGCCUCAACAUUAAAACCACCUGCCCUAUAUCAUGAUGGAGAUCCCCUGCGUGCUGCCAAAACAGCGCUGAUGCAUUGAGGCAUGGACUCCACAAGACCUUUGAAUGUGUUCGGUGGUAUCUGGCAUUAAAAUUUAGCAGUAGGUCCUUUAAGUACUGCAGGUUGAGAGGUGGGUCCUCCAAUGACCAGGUUUAUUGUCCAGCACAUCCCACAGUUGCUCAAUCGGAUUAAGAUCUGGGGAAUUUGGAGGCAGAGGCAACACCUCCAUUCCCGAGCAAUGUUUGCAGUGUCACAGGGUGCAUUAUCCUGCUGAAAGAGGCCACUGCCAUCAAGGAACACCGUUGUCAUAAAGGGGUGUAAAUGGUCUGCAACAUUUUCUAGGUAGGUGGUACAUGUUAAAGUAACAUCCACAUGAAUACCAGGACCAAAUGUGACAAAACCCCUAUUUUGCCUCCCCAAGAACCAUUCUCCUCCUCAGUUCGGGAAUCUGUUUAAACUUUGUUUCUUUUUACCCUCCUCACAUUCGGGAUUAUAAAGUACCAAACACAGACCACCCCC
rnacentral:lncRNA from 1 species